rnacentral:rRNA from 1 species
UACGAAGGGGGCUAGCGUUGCUCGGAAUCAUUGGGCGUAAAGCGCGCGUAGGUGGCCUCAUAAGUCCGUUGUGAAAGUCAAAGGCUCAACCUUUGAAAGCCGAUGGAUACUGUCGGGCUAGAGUUCGGAAGAGGCAAGUGGAAUUCCUGGUGUAGCGGUGGAAUGCGCAGAUAUCAGGAGGAACACCCAUAGCGAAGGCAGCUUGCUGGGACGAUACUGACGCUAAGGCUCGAAAGCGUGGGGAGCGAACAGG